rnacentral:lncRNA from 1 species
UACAAGGGACUAUUCCUCAUAUAUUAGUAGUAUUGCUCACUAGUUCUCAUUCCUUCAUUCUGCAGGUCUUUUUCCUCCUGUGUUCUGUAGCUCAUUCUCACUCUGUUGGACUGAUUCCCAAGGAGUGGCCUUUCUGCACUGUUGUUACAGCUCUGAAAGCCUCCUGGAGUUCAAACAGUAUGCCAUCCAUGUGUGGGGAGCAAAACACCAGCUCUCAUGUUAAUGAAGAUUACAGUGAAGAAUGGAGGGAUGAAAGCCCGGCUGCUCACCCACUGACAGCGACUGGGGGAUUUGCCCUUACAGCAGUGAAGUAAGUACCCAACCAUAGUUAAGUUUCAUCAAAACUUUCUUUACCAUCCAUUUCAGAGGUUUCACAACUGGGCUGGAAAAUUUACAUGGAGAUAAACCCCUCAGUCAGGCCUCAAGUAAAUGUAAAACUGGCUGUUAUCUUUUUGUGGGAGUCCCAGAAAUGGAGGUACUAAAUCAAUGCAAAUAUACAUAUGAAAAUGUACCUUUUUAGGGAUGGAAUCCAUACAGAACUUCACAGAAAUCAGAGAGUUAAUUUAUCCCAUCUGAUAACUUAGACUGUGGAAAUGAACACAUCUUUUGUCUUUGAGCACUUUUAUGACACAUUAUAUCAAUUGGAAGUGAAAUAUUUUUUUUCUGUUAAAUUCUGUGUGUGAUGACUCAGGAAGUCUGUGGAGAGGUGAUCAGUUCCCAUUCACUUCCAGAAGACUCUUCCCCCAAGGAUUUGAAGUGGCAAUCAGCAGCAAUGGCAGCUCUUCCAUCCCUUACUCCAUCAGUCUCCUCCACAAAUUUCAAGUUGUAAGAUUUUAAACACUACUAUUGCUACAAGUGAAGAAAUAAAAGACAUUACUGAAGUACCA